CAGUUGCUCGAGGCACAUAAUCGUUUGACUUCCCUCCUUUCUUCUUUGUGAUUUGAGAGGGAGAGAGUUAUGGCGGGGGCAUGGUCUCAGCUCAUCUCCAUCGUGUUGUUGUCCCUAAUUCUACACCUUACGCGGUGUGUGGAUGUUUCUAGUGCUCCCACCAACGUGUUUCUCUUACAAAGUGAUCAGGAGAACUCUCGUCUCGCCAUGAUUCUCCCUCUUCAUUUCUCUGUUCCCGAUUCUUCCAUAUCCGACUUCAAUCCACGUCGUCAACUCCAGAGAUCGCACUCCAAACGCCAUCCUAAUGCUCGUAUGAGACUCUACGACGAUCUCCUUCGAAACGGAUACUAUACCACGCGGCUUUGGAUCGGUACUCCUCCACAGAGGUUUGCUCUUAUUGUUGAUACGGGGAGUACUGUUACGUAUGUCCCGUGCUCUACUUGCCAACACUGUGGUAGACAUCAGGAUCCGAAGUUCCAGCCAGAAGAGUCAAAAACCUAUCAACCUGUAAAAUGCACAUCGAAUUGCAAUUGUGACAAUAGCAGGAUGCAAUGCAUGUAUGAGAGACGGUAUGCUGAAAAGAGUACUAGCAUUGGGGUCCUGGGCGAGGAUGUUGUUUCCUUUGGAAAUCAUAGUGAGCUUUCCCCCCAACGUGCUGUUUUUGGCUGUGAAAAUGUUGAGACUGGUGAUAUUUAUCGUCAACGUGCUGAUGGUAUCAUGGGUUUGGGCCGUGGAGAUCUUAGCAUAAUGGAUCAACUGGUUGAGAAAAAGGUAAUAAGUGAUUCAUUCUCACUGUGCUAUGGUGGAAUGGGUGUUGGUGGGGGUGCUAUGGUUCUUGGUGGCAUAUCUGCCCCAGCUGGCAUGGUCUUUUCACAUUCAGAUCCUGUUCGAAGUUUUGGGAUGGCGACAGUCCAUAUUACAAUAUCAAUUUGAAGGAGAUACAUGUUGCGGGGAAGCGAUUGCAUCUGAACCCAAAGGUUUUUGAUGGGAAACAUGGAACUGUCUUGGAUAGUGGCACAACUUAUGCAUACCUACCAGAAGCUGCAUUUCUUGCAUUUAAACAUGCUAUUAUGAAGGAACUUCACUCUUUGAAGCAAAUCAGUGGUCCAGAUCCAAAUUACAAAGAUAUAUGUUUUUCUGGUGGUGGAAUUGAUGUGUCUCAACUCUCCAAAAGCUUUCCAGUGGUUGAUAUGGUAUUUGGAAAUGGUCACAAGUUGUCACUGUCACCAGAAAACUACUUGUUUAGGCAUUCAAAAGCCCGAGGUGCAUAUUGUCUUGGGAUUUUCUCAAAUGGAAAGGAUCAAACUACUCUUUUAGGAGGUAUUAUUGUCCGUAACACUCUUGUAAUGUAUGAUCGUGAGCAUACAAAAAUUGGUUUCUGGAAAACUAAUUGUUCUGAGUUAUGGGAAAGACUACACGUCACUGAUGCCCCACCACCAGUGCCUCCAAUUUUAGGAAGAACUAAUUUAACCAAAGGAUUUGAGCCUUCCAUUGCUCCAUCUGCAUCACAGUUUACUUUACGUGAAGGUGAACUCCAAAUUGCUCAAAUAAUAAUUGUAAUUUCAUUUAACAUCAGCUACAUGGAUAUGAAGCCUUACAUUACAGAUUUGGCUGGACUCAUAGCUCACGAGUUAGAUGUUAAUACUUCACAGGUUCAGUUGAUGAAUUUUUCUUCCUUUGGAAAUGGUUCACUCUCUAGAUGGGUCAUAACCCCAAGGCCAUAUGCAGAUUUCUUUUCUAACACCACUGCUAUGGUAAGUUGAAUUUGUUCAUUUGCAUGUAUGCAGACUGCCAAUUUGAUGAGGAUUUUCAAUGUAACAGAGUAUAAUUGCCCGGGUUUCUGAACAUCGUAUGCAACUUCCUGGCACAUUUGGAAGUUAUAAGUUACUUGAUUGGAAUCUUGAGCCUUCGAUGAAACGGACUUGGUGGCAGCAAUAUUAUUUGGUUGUGGCUUUAGCUGUUUUGCUUACAUUGCUUCUAGGAGUAUCAGCCUUGGGAAUACUCUUAAUUUGGAAAAACAGACAACAAGCUAGGCACUUGUACAAGCCAAUUGAUGUAGCUGUUCCAGAGCAGGAGCUUCAGCCAUUAUGAGCUUCGCUUGUGCUACUGCUGCUUAGUCGUUUGCCUGAUUGGUGUGGUUGGCAUAUUCCAGUCUAUAAACGAGCAAUUUAUGCAACCAUGGUCACUCAACUAAUCAAGAUUUUCGUUUCCAAGAAAUCAAGCAGUCUAUCAUGAUAUACCGAAACCCUGAUAGAUGUAUAUAGAAAUAAUUCUUUAGUAGAAGUUGUAUAAUUUGCAUACUCAAUUUUGUUUGCGAUUAUUGCAAAAUAAACGGUGAAUCACAGGGUGAUGUUUACAUUUUUAUUUAGCUGGUGCUUUCUACUUGGUUCAUAAUUUUUUUUUUCUGUUCAUGUUUUUUCUAGCUAGCGAGUGUUAUUAUUAUAAUAUGUUGUCCAAGAAACAAUCAUCUGCAUUCAUGUAUCAGUCCAUUCAUUAAUCAUUAGUAGUU